UAUCUCCCCAAUCCUCUCCAUUCUCCUCUCGGUCUAGGGAUUUUUUGCAAUCAUCCUCCCAAAACCCUAUUUUCUCAAUCCCCUUCCCUAUUUCCCCUCUACGGUAGCCAUCCUUUUGCUGCAUUCGCCAUGGUAGAAGCUCCAUAAUUAGAUCUAGCGCCUUCCUCCAAUCUAGGGCUUUGAAUAGUGAGCGAGAUAGAUUUUAUCUUUGUAGCCUAUGUGCCUAGAUAAGGACCUCAUGGAUAAGAAGAAAUCCAAAUUGAAGGUUCUUCGGUUGCCCAUGAUUUGGGGUAUAAGUUUUUCUUUGGCCCUAACUCCCU
rnacentral:lncRNA from 1 species